GAUGAACGCUGGCGGCGUGCCUAAUACAUGCAAGUCGAGCGAACGGACGAGAAGCUUGCUUCUCUGUUGUUAGCGGCGCACGGGUGAGUAACACGUGGAUAACCUACCUAUAAGACUGGGAUAACUUCGGGAAACCGGCGCUAAUACCGGAUAAUCUUUUGAACCGCAUGGUUCAAAAGUGAAAGACGGUGUUUCUGUCACUUAUAGAUGGAUCCGCGCUGCAUUAGCUAGUUGUUAAGGUAACGGCUUACCAAGGCAACGAUGCAUAGACGAGCGGAGAGGGUGAUCGGCCACACUGGAACUGAGACGCGGUCCAGGCUCCUACGGGAGGCAGCAGUAGGGAAUCUUCCGCAGUAGGCGGAAGCCUGACGGAGCAACGCCGCGUGAGUGAUGAAGGUCUUCGGAUCGGAAAACUGUGUUAUUAGGGAAGAACAGAUGUGUAAGUAACUGUGCACAUCGUGACGGUACCUAAUCAGAAAGCCACGGCUAACUACGUG
rnacentral:rRNA from 1 species